GAGGUCCGCACCGGUUUAAACCGGUACAUCUGCUACCUCAUCGCCGGCGGCUCGAUUAGCGCCAAGCAAUUAUUGAAUACCCGGCCGUUCGACGAUAAGGUUCGUUUCUCUCUUUUAUGUUCACGACUUCCUCAAUCGGGAUACCGAUUUCACGCGGACACUGCCGGGUCUCUUACGUCUCUCGAAUAAAUUCAUAUUUCCGUGUCCCGCGGAUGUAUCAACGGUGCUGCGAUUGUCGUCAAGAAAUGCGAACCGACGUGUCGAGGACGUACAAGUGCAUACGAGAAUCAGCCGACGAGACUACGGCCGGAUUGCUUGCGAGAUGAAGCGGUGCUGGCAUUGCGGAAGAAUAAUGGAACAUACUCGAAUUAAACGGAGAGAGAAACGCACAUAUCUUUACUGCACCACCGAUUAGCGAAUCCCGGCUCCUCACGCACCAACCUCGCAGCCUAAUUCGUUAGGUGCACAACAACGCAAUGUAAACAAUUUCGGACUAGGCCCACUCUGGUCUUCUCCGAGAGGUCCAAAUUGCGACACUCUUCGACGUACAGUGGGUGAUCAAAUUAGUAUGAACAGCUGGUAAACUUACAUAUUUUAUGUUUCCGAUGCUAUUAUGUGUUCCAUAAAAGUGAAGUAUACCCUUUCCAGCAAAAACCGUAACAGCCUGCCUAGCUAAUAAAAAAAUUCAAGUUUUAACGUGAUGUGGAAAUUCACCAGAUAUAAACCCAAUAGAAAAUCUAUGGGAAUUAUUAUAGCGUCGCAUUGCAUCAGAGACAAUAACUAACAAGCAACAACUGAUUGACAAAAUUAUAUUCGUAUGGCAUCACGACCCAGAAAUGCUGGAAAAUUGCCGAAAAAAUCUGGAAAGCAUGCCGAGACGUAUUCAAGCAAUUAUCUAUAGAUGCCAAGGGCGGAGUGACCAAAUAUGUAUUAACCCUUUGCACUCGAGGGCUCCGGAGCGGAGCCAUUUAAAAUUUGUCUUCAAACUCGAGGGCUCCGCUACAGAGACAAUGCAAAUAAGUCCUGUUAUUCAGCAGUAGAGUGUAUCAGAUUCGAGUUUAUCUGUUUUUUUAUAUUUUGAAUAAUAAUAAUAAUAAUAAUAACAUACAACGAUGACUUUUCUUUUAAUGCGUAUAUCAUUAACUUACAUGUAAAUAUGAUCUUUUCACUAAAAUUGCUUCGAGUUGCUGGUAAUAUGAAUGAAAAAAAACUUCGAUUGCAAAGGGUUAACAUUAUAUGUAUGUGUUUUAAAUUAUAAAAGUUGUAAAAUAUAGCAAUAUAAUAAUAAUAAAAAUAUAACAGUAAGUUUUGCAAUAAAAAGGGAUACCAUUUUAAGUGUAUCUUCAAUUCCAUUCCCAAUCAAACUUCAAAUAAGUGGUAAUUUCGAACUGUUCAUAAUACUAUGAUAACACACUGUACAAUCGCGAGGUGCGUGUUGGUGGGUCCGUGGAGUGGUUUAGAGACGAGUUUUGUUCUUAAUUUGUUCCAGUGACAAAUAGGGCAAAAGACUCUAUCUUCACGUAUAAAAAUCUUUAAUUCAAUUAAUUUUUAUUAUUUUGUUUUAUUAUUUUUCAAUUUUAUUUCUUUCGUUUCUUUUAUUUAUUUACGUAGUUUUAGUUUAACAGAUUUUGCAAUAGUUCGGGUUUUCAAAAUUCCAAUCAGAGCAAUAGCUGAUGGUGUGUUUCUCUCUCCCCAGGAACGAGGCAUUUAGAUCAUCAUUAUACGAUUUCCGACCCAUUUUUAAAGUUUAUAUGUAUACAUAUAUUUUUGAUGAGUUAUUUUCCUUUACUCUUCCAGUUAUACUUAUGAAUAUAUUAACAAGUAAUUUCCAGUAGUCAGUAAUUGACUGUGGAAUUUCCUUAUCUGGAAAUUCCUAUAUUUUAUCUUUCCAAUAAUCGUUUUCUUUUGUAACCAAUAAUUGUGUGUCUCAACCUUUAUUAUUCAUGAGCUAAAUUUGUAUUCACAUUUGUUCGAAAUUUAUUAUUGUAUACCACAUUUCAUUAAUUACCUUUUAUAAUAUACUAUUUUUCGUUUAUCUUAA